rnacentral:rRNA from 1 species
UAGUCAUAUGCUCAGCUCAAAGACUAAGCCAUGCAUGUCUAAGUAUAAGGGCAUUGUCCCGAAACUGCGAACGGCUCAUUACAACGGUCGUAAUUCACAUGGCCCUAUCUUAUCCUAGUCGGAUAACACUGGGAAUCUAGUGCUAAUACGUGCAUCAAAUGGUGGUUGGCCUUUAUUGUGCUGAUUAUCAGGCGCCUAUCGGUAUCUUCUUUACGGGGGAUGCUUAGUACGAAAUUGACCAGCGUGGUGAGUGAUGGAUUAAUAGUCUAUUGCUUAUCAUUCUUAUGGUGAAACAAGGUAGGACGUAGACCGCUGAAAGGCGGUAGGCCAUACAAACGACCGCCCCAUCAUACUUUCAACCGUAGUAUAGGGGACUACGGUGGUGUUGACGGGUAACGGAGAAUUUGGGUUCGACUCCGGAGAAUGAACAUGAGAUAUGUUUCAUACUUCUAAGGAAGGCAGCAGGCGCGCAAACUACCCAAUCGACAACGUCGGAGGUGGCGACGAGCAGUACUGGAAGCUUGAUUUUUAAAUUCGGGCUUUCAGAAUGAACGAUGCACAGAUACUACGCUGAAUGCAAGAAGAGGGCAAGUCUGGUGCCAGCAGCCGCGGCAAUUCCAGCUCUUCGAGCAUAUAUAUAAAGUUGUUGCGUUUAAAACGCCCGUAGUUGAGAUUCUAAUUAUGUUAGAAUAUUGGUAUGUAUAUGUAAAUAUAUAUAUUAAUAUUUUAAUUAUAAUUAUUGUUUCAAUCAUUGGGAGAUUUGACGUACAGUUAUGUUGGUAUAAUAUGCAUAUAUAUAUAUUGCUGAAUAGUAUAUAUGAUGUGUAUUUAAACUGGGAGUGAUGCACCCAGUGAUAUGCAUAAGGAGAGAGUAUAUACUUAUGUAUAUUUAUCAUUAUGAUAAUAUGAAAGACUUAUUAGUCUUCUCUUGUAAAACACGGCUUGAGAAGAAGUAUUAGAAUAAGUAAUGAAGAUGUUAAAGGAGGAAUAUACUGGUGUUAUAUAAAGGGUUGUUUAUUAAACAUUCUAUAUAUGAAUGGUUUAAUAAUAGAAAGAGUAUGAGUGUGUAAGGUCAGACACACAGGUGAGUAAUAUGAUAUAGGAGAAGAUGGAGAAAGAUGAGUAUAUAAUAUAGCUGGAAUAAAAAGAUGAUAUAAAUGGAGUAGUUAAGUAAAAUGGAGUAGAUUAUUCAUUCAUUGGUAGUGUGUUAUCUCUGCUAUUGAAUGAUGAGAUGGAUUGGUGUUUGAUCAUGGAAUGAAGGUGGUGGAGAAUAUGCUCUAUAUGGUUAUCAUUUGAAUGCAGUGUUGAGAGACGAUAAUUCUUUUGAUGAGAGCAUAUGAUACUCCAUUUGAGAGACAUGCAAACAUUCAAUAUAUUCUGGACAUAAUAAGGAGUAGUUAGGUUUGAUAUAUCACGAACAUAUGAUAUUGUUAUAUAUAAGAGCGUAUGAAAUGUAUAUAUACAAAUAUGGAAGUGAGAGAGAAAUGGAAGUAGAAAUAAGUAUGAGGAGGAGGAGAAGUGUUAGAGUGGGCUGGAUGGGAAGCGUUUAUAUGCAAAUUAGUGUGCAUGGGCGUGUGAUCAUUCUUUCACUUUAAUAUUUCUUUUUCUUUUUAUAUUUAUUUUUAUUCUCUUGAUUGAUCUUGCUUUUAUAUUUGUAUAUAUGCAUUUUGUGCAUUCUUAUAUAUAACAACAUUGUAUGUCCGCGAUAUAUCAAACAUAACCAUCUCAUAUUGUGUUCCGAAUAUGUUGAGUAUGCGUAUGGCUUGAUGAUGUAGUAUUAUAUGUGAUUAGAUAAAGUGUUAUGAUUUUUUAAUGUUGUGUGAGGAUGAGUAUUGUAUAGAGUGUAUUUGAUCUAUCUUUGUUUUAUGAUCAUUCAUUUGUUCAUUGAGUCAUUUGGUGGUAUUCCAAAGGAGGUGGUAUAUUAUCAGUGUUAUGAAUAGUAUGAUUUCAUUUUACUUGAUUAUUUUGUUUAUGUCAUUUUGAUAUUUCAGUUAUAUUAUAGAUUUAUUUAUAUUCAUUCAUUCUAUGUUAUAUAUGCAUCUGUGUUAUGGUCUUAUAUAUUUAUAUUUGAUUUAUUGUUUGAUCAUUUAUGUAUGGUGUGUUCGAUUUAUAAUCUGGCAUUGGUAUAAGAAUUCUUUAAUAUUUUUGUGAAAUGUUUUGAUAUUUAAUCUUGAGUUGUGUGUAAAGAGUGGAGAUGAAGUAUGUUCUUAAAUAUUAUUAUGAUGGUGAGUAUAUAUAAAUAUAUAUUCUUUUUGAAUGUAUAUUACUGGGGUCAAAUGUAUUGUUUCAUAGUUUGAUACAUUGAUUAUAUAUUCUUUUGUAAUAUUUAUAUAUGUAUUAUUAUAUUGAUGUAAUUAUGUUGUUAAAUUUUUUGGUGGUUGAAAUAUUAUUAUAAUUGGAGUAUUAAUAUAUAUAUGAAUAUAUACAUAUCACUGACAUGAUUGAAUUAGUUACCAUAAAGAAAUUGGAGUGUCUCAAGCAGGUCUUGCCUUAAAAGGCGUUGGCCCCUGUACAUUGCAGUAUGGAAUAACAGAUUAGACCUAUGUCUGUCUGCUGGUCAAGUCUCUAUAUUAGGGAUCAAUAGUAUUUAUCUGGUACGCUCUGUUAGUGUUCUUAUGUUGAGGUUGAUUGAUCACUUGUGUAUUAUGUUGAGUUGUUUCGGCAAUUUAAUGUAAGAUAUGAGCAGAUGGUUAAUUUUAAUAUGAGGUACAACAUUAGCAGAGUAUGUCGGUAUAUCUAUUGAUAACUAUGUAGAGAACAGAUGUGGCGUGAUGGUAAAUAGGGGCGGUAUCGGGGGCAUAAGUAUUGGGCCGGGAGAGGUAAAAUUCUAUGAUCGGCCCACGACUAACUGAGGCGAAAGCGCUUGCCAAGGACGCUUUCAUUGAUCAAGGACGAUAGCUGGGGGAGAGAAGGAGAUCAGACACCUCUGUUUUCCAAGCUGUAAACGAUGCCGACUAGGUAUGGGGAGUAGUUCUUAAUUGAUGUUCUCCGUGCCCCACGAGAAAUCUGUAAGUAUUCAGGUUACGGGGGGAGUAUGGUCGCAAGGCUGAAACUUAAAGGAAUUGACGGAAGGGCACCACAAUUGGCGUGGAGCCUGCGGCUUAAUUGGAUUCAACGCCGUUAAACUUACCGGGCCCUGACUCGCUCGGGAUUGACAGGACUACGUUCUUUCGUGAUUGCGAGAGUGGUGGUGCAUGGCCGUUCUUAGUUCGUGGUGUGAACUGUCUGCUUAAUUGCGAUAACGGACGAGACCUCCGCCUAGUGACUGUUAUAAGUUAAUAGGGUAUUCGUAUUCUAUUGAUUUAUAAUGGUAUUAUAGGAGUAAGGUGAGAGUGUGCCAAUGGAUGGAGUAUAUAUAUGCUCUUUCAAAAAAGUGGUGAAAUAAAAUUAUAAACAAGAAUGUGAAAGAGAGAAAGUAUAUAUCCACACAUGAGUCUGUAGGUAUCGUGAGUACGUUAAUAUGUAUGCAAUUUCGUGUGUAUAUAUAUAUGAUGUAUUGAUGUUACCUGGGUUUGUGUAUGGAUGGGUAUAUGCAAAUACCAUUUUCAUAUUUUUAUUUGUUAUUUUAUUUUAUUCAUUUUUGUGAUAGGUAUAUAUGUAUUCUAUUCAUUGGUACAUUCUCAUAUACCAAACUUUCUCCUUCACAGGGACUAUUGCUUAUAAAGCGCCGGAAGCGCGAGGCAAUAACAGGUCAGUGAUGCCCUUAGAUGCCUUCUAUCGGGCUGCACGCGUGCUACAAUGGCGGGAGCAGUAUGUGGAUGCCAAACCAGAAAUGGUACGGCAACCCUGGUAGGCCCCGUCGUGGUUGGGAUCGUCCCUUGCAAUUGUUGGUCGUGAACUAGGAAUGCCUCGUAAGCGUGUGUUAGUAAUCGCACGCUGAAUGCGUCCCUGCCCUUUGUACACACCGCCCGUCGCUCCUACCGAUUGGAUGUUGCGGCAAGUUGUCCGGAGGACACACUUCUGUGUGGACCGAAGUUCCGCGAGCCCUAGCAUCUAGAGGAAGGAGAAGUCGUAACAAGGUUUCU